CGCCGCCCCGCCGCCCCGCCGCCGCCCUCCCCGCGCGGGCUCACCGCCCCGAGGUACUCCGUCUCCCCGCUGAGUUGUGCGGCUCCGGAGGAGUAAUACAAAGACAGAGCUAGGAGCACAGGGAGUAAGAAGCCCAGGGUGAAAUGUUACUUCAAAGAGCUACACAGAGCUACAUGGCUACCACAGAAACACGGAGUCACAAGCCUAAGCAUGAUGCAAGCGACACACAGAAACAUUGGUUCAAAAGGCCGGACCCAGGUGGGACUCAGCAGUAGCAGUGGAGGGAUCUGCUGCCCUAGAAGUGGAGGGCAUGUCCUGAGGAGUUCUCUAUGGAGGCAAUGAGAGAGGAGCCAGCUAUCUGAUGCUUUAGAAUCCCUCCCCCACCACUCUCCUGCCCACCCUGGACUCCCCAGGGGUCUGGAGUCACAGGUGAGGUUGGCUGCAGAUGCUCCCAAAUGCCUUGAUCCCCCUGUUGGAAGAAAAAGGGACAGGUUAUUUGAAGGAAGAAUUUGGGUCCCACUCUACUUCCUUUUAUCUAGAAAAUCUGGAUCUGAUUCUUCAACCUCAGACCAUCUCCUGGAGGCCACAGCAGCCCUCAGGCCAGAGCAAUCAACCUCAGAUCUUCCCUCCACUCCUUACCUCCACUGAUAUAGUGACUACUAGGAACAUGUUCUGCAGGAGCCUGAAAACAGGCUAUUUCAAAAAUGUUUUGCCUCCACUCACUGAGUAGAACAGAUGGUAGGGUUCAAAUGUGGGAAACCAAGAGGACUCAAGUGAAGGGCCACUCACCAUGCCUGGGGAGGAAGCUAGCUGCUCCUUCCUCUCCAGCAUCUCUAGCUUUGAGCCCACAGCAUCUACUUGGGACAUGACUCCUUCCAAGACAGUCUCCAACUGAAGAACUCUCCUUGUGAGUCUGCAGGAUUUGAGAGAGACUAAGGGAGCAAAAAUAUGCAUCAUGGGGCUAAACAUCUAUAGGGGUAGGGGAGACAUUAUGGUCUGUGUGUGAAUGGGAGCAAGGAAGGUAAGGCCCAGUCUUGUAGGGAGAAUAAAGGAGAAGGGGAACACAGGUUCUCCCUGGGCUAGGACAGAAAAUUAGAAGGUUAUGGAAAGAAGCUCAACAUAGGACAUUACAAACACACUCAGCCCUGCUGCACAUACGUGUAGAAUUCUUCUCCUGAAACCCAGCCAUCUGCUCUGGUAGCCUCUGGACCCGACUCGCCUGGUCCUGUUGCAUUUGUUCCUGCUCUUUUUUGUCCAGGAUGUGAUUUCCAUCUUGAUCAAACCUGGUGAAGGCGGCUGUGAGCUCAGUGAUCUCAUGCUCUGCGUGCCCAAGUCUGGGGAAAACAGUAUGAGGAAAUGACUUCUGACCUGUUGUGGCUGUGAUCUCUCAAUUAUAGACUCCCUACUUUUUUUCAGA